GUCCAAUCUGCGAUUCCCCCUCCUGGAAAGGGAGAGUAUAACUAGCAUGCACAAAGACCUUAACCUAAUAAAACAUCCCUGCCAUGUCCAAUCUAUGACGCCCCCUCCUGGAAAGGGAAAGUAACUAGCAUGCAAAAAGGCCUUAACAUAAAAAAACAUCCCUGCCAUUUCCAAUCUGCGAUGCGCCCUCCUGGAAAGGGAGAGAAACUAGCAUGCACAAAGGCACUGUCCUUAAAAUAACAUCCCUGCCAUGUCCAAUCUAUGAUGCGCCCUCCUAGAAAGAGAGAGAAACAAGCAUGCGCAAAGGCCUUAACAUAAUAAAACAUCUCUGCCAUGUCCAGUCUGCAACGUGCUCUCCUCGAAAGGGAGAGAAACAAGCAUGCACAAAGGCUUUAACAUAAAAAAAACCAUCCCUGCCAUGUCCAAUCUGCGACAUGCCCUCCUGAAAAGGGAGAGAAACUAGCGUGUACAAAGGCCUUAACAUAAAAAAACACCCCUGCCAUGUCCAUUCUCUGAUGCGCCCUCCUGGAAAGGGAGAGAAACAAGCAUGGACAAAGGCCCUAUCCUUAAAAAACAUCCCUGCCAUGUCCAAUCUACGAUGCGCCCUCCUGGAAUGGGAGAGAAACCAAUAUGCACAACGGCCUUAGCCGAAAAAACCAC
rnacentral:lncRNA from 1 species